rnacentral:rRNA from 1 species
CCUACGGGCGGCAGCAGUGGGGAAUAUUGCGCAAUGGGCGAAAGCCUGACGCAGCGACGCCGCGUGAGGGAUGAAGGUCUUCGGAUCGUAAACCUCUGUCAGCAGGGAAGAACGGUCACUGUGCUAAUCAGCAGCGAAUUGACGGUACCUGCAAAGGAAGCCACGGCUAACUCCGUGCCAGCAGCCGCGGUAAUACGGAGGGUGCGAGCGUUAGUCGGAAUUACUGGGCGUAAAGCGCUCGUAGGCGGUAUGUCAAGUCAAGGGUGAAAUCCCCGGGCUCAACGUGGGAACUGCCUUGGAAACUGGCAAACUAGAGUGUGUGAGAGGAUAGUGGAAUUCCAGGUGUAGGAGUGAAAUGCGUAGAUAUCUGGAGGAACAUCAGUGGCGAAGGCGACUAACUGGCACAUAACUGACGCUGAGGAGCGAAAGCGUGGGUAGCAAACAGGAUUAGAUACCCGAGUAGUC